rnacentral:lncRNA from 1 species
AGGUCAAUCUUUUGCCCCAUGCUACUGGCAAACCUUAAGAUCAUGUUUAUGACACCCAUUAUUGAUGGGUUAUCAUUAAUCUCCUCAUCCAACUAGUGCUGAGGUGGCUAUUCAAUUGCUCGAUUUUCUCACUCCAAAACAUAAUUUUUGAGAUAGCCCAUUUGGAUCAGUUCCUCGAUCUAAUCCUUCAGUUGGAGAGUCUUCAGUGUUGUAG